GGUUCACUCCUCCGCCCAGACCAAUCCACAAGGAGCUCUCCACAUACAUCAGUCUCUACACCAGCUUGGUGGACACCAACCAGGAGAAGAUUCGCAGAUAAUACUUAAGAAACCCUCUGGAUGUUUGUCUUCCCAUAUAAACUAGCAGAUUUCCUUCCCACUCCUCCUUACCACCUCCCCAGUCUACCUCCCAUCCAUUUGUUCCAGCAGGCACAUGUAUGUGAUGUGUGUGUAUUAACACAUGUCCACUGGCGUGUGAGUGUAUGUAUAAGUAUGAAGGAGGAUGCGCAUACAUGACUGUGCUCCUUUAUGUGGAAGCCCAAGGUCAUCAUGGGAAUCUUGAGUUCUCUUCCACUUUGCACGGUGAGACAGGGUCUCUAAGACAAACAGAGAGCUUUCCAAUAUGAUCAAUACGUUUUAUGAAGCAACUUGCUCCAGAGAUCCCUUGUCUCUGCUUCCUGAGGUUAGAAUAACAAGAUCUAAUGCAUGACACUUGAAAGAGUCAAAGAAACCACAUUCAUGGUGAUUUCUGUACAAACAGAAGCACAUUAAUACAGCAUGGAACCACGGAAUGAGCUGGCGUAUUGCACGGAAGACACCACUCUCCUCCAAACAAAUGGUGUGUUAAGUUCAGCUGCCAUCGCACGGACAGAACCGGGAGUUCACCUUAACUGCAUAAUGACUGAAUAGAAAUUCACUGUGAUUCCAUCGGGGAAUGCAGGUUUUAGAACUUCUGUCUUCCUAAACAUAACAGCUUACUAAAAAGAAAUUGUAUAUUAACCCCUUUGCUGGUGAUUAUUUUAAAAGGAAUAAAAUAAUAAAAUUUUCGGCUUUGUUAAAAAAAAAAGUACUUUGGUGAGUUCCCAAUAAAACCGGACUCGCUGAACAUAGCGGACAAUGAGGACUACUGAGAACUCAAGAACAAUGGCAAUGGGUUUUUGAUCCUACUGCACGUACUAACUUUGUGGGAGCCUAGGCAGUUUGGAUGCUCACCUUACUAGACCUGGAUGGAGGUGGGUGGUCCUUGGACUUCCCACAGGGCAGGGACCCUGA